UUAUCAUGCACUUGCCGCGUGUUGUCGCGUAACCUGUUGGCGGCUGCAGGAAGGGGUGUGGGGGGCCGGAGGCUUCAGCUCACACCGGGGAAAUCUUGCAGGCAUGUUACUGACGGCUGCAAAAUCUCUUUCGAUUUAGGUAAUAAGAUCAGCAAAUUAAUCCUUUCACAGAUCAUUGCCUACCUAAAUGCACUCUCCACACAUCAGAACCGGGGGCUGUGCCGAGAAUGAGGUAGCUGGGGUCUGUUUGCAGGGAUGGGGCCGGAGCAUGGUGGACUUGCCUGGCUUAGGGGCUGCAGGUCCCUGUGCAGGGCACUGGACAAGCCAAGCCAAGGAAUUUCUCCACUCUCCGUUUAUUCUGCUUGGACUGCAAAAUUCAGCCUCAGAGGGUCCCAUGACUCCUGUGAUCUGGCCUCCUACUUCUGACACUUGGAUGGGGCACUUGGGCGUCUGUGAGAGGAGAGAACAGCCCCAGAUGAGAACUGGUCACUGUGGAUUCUGACCCACAGAUUCAAAGUCUGUAAUAGGCACCAUUUAAAACAUGUUUAAUUGUUUUUAAAAGUAUCAUUUCUGGAUACAAAGACUAUGUGUUUUUUGUUUGUUUUUGUUUCCAGAAAUGAUGGUUCCUUCUUCUUUCCACCAGCACAUUGUGAGCAUACGCUGCGUGGCCCAACGCCUCAGGUAUACAAAGACGCUCUUAUCCGGAGGGCUUAUCUGGCAGACUCUCCGGGGCUUAGAGGUUAGAGGUCAUCUCCUAGGAGCUGAAAUACAUUCAUAUCACAUAAAUGUAACCCUUUAAAGUACGCAAUUCAGUGGCAUUUAGUACUUUCGCCAUGUUGUGCAACCACCACCUCUAUCUGCUUUCACAACAUCUUCACACCCCAGGAAGAAACCGGUCGCCGUGAGCAGUCACCGCCCUCCCCAGCCUCAGGCAGCCCCCAGCCUGCUUCUGUUUGCCUGUUCUGGAUGUUUCAUGUCCAUGGAAUCAUAUGGUGCGUGCCUUUCGCACGUGGCUUCUCCCACCCCGCAUCUUGUUUUCAAGGUUCACCCAGCCGUAGCCGGUCAUCGCGUCAUUCCUCUUUAUGGCCGUGGAACAUUCCAUCGUGUGGCUAGGCCAUAUUUUGCGUAUCCGUUUAUCACGUGAUGAACUCUGGCCUGUUUCCACCUUUUGGCUCCUGUGAAUAGCAUUGCUGUGAUGGCUGCAAGGCAGGGGACACGGGUCAGGCUGAGGUUGGAGUGAGAGAAGUGGAGGUAAGCUGGAACUUCCUGCUUCAAUUUGAAGUGAAUUCUCAGAAUAUCAGACAUACCUGUAUUGAGUCUAAGCACGACAAAACAUUAGAAACUGGAAGCAGUGACCUUGCGUUUCCUUAUGGCUUCGAGGACUCACCUUUUGGUCUUCCCAUGUGCGGGGGGAGCUGGUGGCGGGUGACAGGCUUUAUCCCGGAGCACUGGGCACCGAGACCUAAGAUGCGGCUCGUGCAGGGAGAGGCCGGGUACCCUCCGGGGAUACGGAGGCAGCUUGCAGAGACAGCCUCUUGCUGAGUUCUUUCCUUUUAGCGUCUGCUCCUGCAGUGGCCGGGAGAGCACUGGAACCCCGUUCCUUGCUGGCUGGCCCUGAUAAUGAGAAAGUCUGUUUGUGCAGUGGUGAGGGCUGCGUCCUUGACUUCCACUCCCAAACCUGGUUUUGCCUUCCCGAAUCACCUACAAGGUACCAAAUACCUCUCAUGUGAGACAUCUCAGCCGGAGGCUCCGUGAAUGGGCCUUGGCAGACUCUGCAGUUGCCACACCUCCGUGAACGAAUGUGCUACCCUCUCUGCACACUGUGAGCCAAGGUGAAGGGUCCGCACGCCAACACCUUGUCCUGCCCCGAGAGUCCCGGCCUCUUCUCCCCUGAGUCUUUGCUGUGUUUGAAGACAUUGCUGUGGCUCCUGUAGCCUUCUCUCUUGGGCACAGCAUCCCCGGCUCUCUCCGCUCUCUUCCAUCCGGGCUGGUGUCCCUUUUUCUUCCAUCUGGGCUGGUGUCCCUUUUCCCAUCUGGUGUUGCCUGCUUAAUUCCAGGUAAUUGGGCUGAGAGGAGAUGGGGACGGGAGGUGGCAGUCAUUAUAUGCUUAGCAGCUCAUCCCGCCAGCAAGAUGAGUUUAAUUGUCCCACCUGGUGACAUCAAACAUCCUGGCCACCUGUCCUCAGUGGGUCUGCUGUGAGGGGACAGGAUGACAUGUGAGUCCCUGGGCCAGCCUAAUUGGAGAGUCUUUUUUUCCUUUUCUUUCCUUUCAUUACAAUAAUGGAUUCAACCUCCUCUGCAUAGGGAGUGGGAGGGGAGUAAUUGGAAGACAUUAAACUCCUUCCUGGGGAGGGGAGGUCAGAAGAGGCCACCUUUGGAUUGCUGAGCUUUGAGGCUGGGGUCCGGCCCCCUCCAGCGUGCUUCUGGUCACAGCGGCCAGCUCUCUGAAGGGUGGGCUCGAGUCACCAGCUGGCUUGCUCCAUCAAUCUGGCACCUCUUCCACACCCCAGGCCCCUGUUGCCCUGGUCAGUAGCACAAGCCAAGGGCAACUCAGUGAGGAGUAGCACUGGGUAGCCCCAGCUCUCCGGCCUGGCAUGGUCACUGCCUCAUUUGCACCACUGCUCCUCCUUUGCAUUCGUCCAGCCAUGGCUGGGGCCUCCAAGUUUAGGCAGAACAAACUGUGUUAGAUGGUGCGUGUGUAUGGGUGUGCGCAUGUGUGUAUGUACAUGUGCACGUACAUGUGCACAUGGGGGUAUGUGUGCAGGUGCACAUGGGUGUGUGUUUGUGUGUGCAUAUGGGUAUGUGUGUGUGUGUGUGUGUGCAGAUGAGUGCAUGUAUGUGUGCAGGUGCAUGUGGGUGUGUGCAGGUGCAGAUUUGUGUGUGUGCAGGUACAUGGGGGGUGUGUGCAUAUGCAGAUGUGUGUGUGCAGGUGCAUGGGGUAUGUGUGUGCAUGUGCAGAUGGGGGUGUGUGUGCAGGUGUGCAGGUUCAUGGAGUGUGUGUGUAUGUGCAGAUGGGUGUGUGUGUGUGUGCACACGUGUGUGUAUAUAUGCUCAUGUGCCCACACCCAUCUCUGCACUGGGAGCUCCCGGCAGGCCUAGAUCUUGCUCAUUCUGUAUCCCAGUAUCUCCAACAGUUGCGUCUGAAUGUAGGGAUCAUGCCAGCGGGAGCAGCAGGCACCCAGAGUGUUUUGGAUCCUCCCUGGGGCUUGGUUGCAGGUUCUCAAGGGCUGGUGCUCCUCAUGGUGAGGACAGGUGAAGGGAGGGUGCUCGGCUGUCCUGUCUGGGCAGUGUUGGCAUGGGGAGGGAGAGCCCAGGGCACUCAGGCCUGGCUUGGUUUCUUUUGGUUUAGGGAUGCCAAUGCUGAUGUGGCAGCCAAGGCUAGUGACAGAGCUGGCCCUAGGUGGGGAAGCGCUUUGGUGCAGCAAAGG
rnacentral:lncRNA from 1 species